AGUCAAGUAUCAUUAAAAUUUCUGUUUUCUUUCAGACUUCCUCUUUGGGAAAAAGCUCUGGGUGAAUAUUUAGAAACCAAGCACAUAGCGUUUCCUCACUUCUAUUUUGUUUCUUCAACAGACUUGCUAGCUAUUCUUCCAAUAGGAACACAGCUGGAACAGGACCACUGUGACUGGGGACUUCAUGCUAUCAAGUCAGUUCUGGUAACUGCUGGCUUACUGAAAUGGAGAAACAAGAACAGACCUGAGGAUCAGGUUCUGACCCUUACAAGCAAAGAACGUGUGCUGGUGACUCCAUCAAUGUAGCUACUGUUUGAGGUGCACCAUUUAAAAGCUGCAGCCACAGCUACAGGAUCCAGAGCUGGCCUCCUCUGUCUGAACACACAGGACCUGAGCUGGAAUCCAUGAGUAUCUGAUGACAUUAGUUAACAUUUUUAAGAUACAUCCUGAAGAUUAAUAGGAGUAGACAUUAUUAUUUUACUAUGAUAAUAGGGGGAUGAAUUAGUUGAAGGGUUAUGUAAAUUGUUAAAUACAGUUUGGAAGAUUUCAGCAUAAGUUAAGUGUUUUAUUUUUCCCUCUUAUCCAGAGUGCUCAAUAAGUAAAUAAAUUGGCUAGUGUUUCCUGUCCCUUUUAAUAA
rnacentral:lncRNA from 1 species